rnacentral:lncRNA from 1 species
CAGCAACUCACAAUGGUCCUCUGAAGAUCUCCCCGGCCCACAAAAUACUUAAAAAGUAACCGGACUCUUUGUUCAGGGCUCAAUCUUUUUGGAUGUUAAUCUGACUGGGCCGGUGCACCUAAAUAAUAAAUAAUAUAUAUCCUCCUCGACCUUUGGUCUCUCUGAUUCCUAAAUUAUCCUGCUGCACCAGGACUUAUAGGAGCAGAAAUCAGAAGACUUUACUCCACACACUUCAGGUGGACAUGUGGACAAAGCCAUCGGAGAACAUGACAAAAAUACAGCAAGAGCAGAGACAAGAUCAGAUCAUCCUGGGGGCAGAUGCUGGGCUCUGACCAAUUUGAGAGAGAAAAGGAAAAAGAACCCAGCUACAAGAUGCACAAGUAGCAGGCCACAGCCACCAACAUCAGCAGAGCAAUUGGAGGCCAGGAAGACAAGGACACUUCUGAAGAGACUGAAAAAAGCAGAAGACAGUCCAAGUCACUGCAAGGUUCCAAGGUCUCUUUUUUCAUUACUGUUACAAGUACCAAGUAAGCCAAAAUCCACCCUACUCUUCAAAACCAUCUUGAAGAGUUGCAGGUCAGGGUUGCUGCAUCUGAGCAUGUUUACUCACAAAAGGUGACAGAUGCUCCUCAACUUACAAUGAGAUUACAUCCUGAUAAAUGUGUCAUAAGUUGAAAGUAUCUUAUAAGUCGAAAAUGCAUUUACUACAGCCUAACCCACUGAACAUUGUAGCUUAGGCUAGCCUACCUUAAAACGUGAUCAGGACACUUCCCUCAGCCUACAUUUGGGCAAAAUCACCUAACACGAAGCCUAUUUUAUAAUAGAGCAUUGAAUAGCUCAAAUAAUUUAUUGAAUACUGUACAUUACAUAGAAUUUGUGACAGUUUUACACCAUCAUUAUGUCAAAAAAUCAUUAAGUUGAGCCACCAUAACUCAGGGACUGUCUGUAUUUAUAUUUUUACUUCACACUAAGCUUUGAAACUGAAAUUUUUGCUCCUCAGCAGAUGGGGUUUCUGAGAAAGACCAAAUUAGUUAUAGAGCACUAGCUCCCAAAAAAAAAAAAAAAAAAAAACAGAAGAAGUCAGAGGAGGAGGGCAACAUGGAGCAGAGGAAGAAGGAGAGAAAAAGCAAGAAACCAUUAUCGCUCCCUCAUCUGAACUGCACUGCGAGUAAGCUGGGGCUUCCACCACAGUGUCCUGGAAGCCAUGUUUGCUGCCCAUUUCUGGACUCUCCAGCCACACUGGCCUCCUUUCCCUUUCUCAAACCUGCUGUGGUUCCUGCCACUUCAAGAUAAUCUCUUAACAAUCUAUUCCUUCUGCCUGGAAUGCUCUUCCUCCCACCCAACCCCGCUCUGCCCAGCUAACUCCAUUCUUUGGCCCCUGCAUCACUUUCCCAAGGAAGCCAUUUCUGGACUUCCCUGACCCCUGCCUUCCAUCUUCACUGGCCCAGAGUUCCCUACCCUAUGGUCUCAUUGCUCCCUCCCAGGCACUGCUGCCUCCCAGGACUCUUCCCUGUCGGUAAUAUAGUUCUGUUUGAUUGUUCAGUUAAUUUUGCCUCCCCUGAAGACCAUAAGCCAUGUUGGCAAUGAUGGUUUUGCUCACCAUUGCACCUCCAGUGUCUAAAAACCAUGGGCAGGUCAAUUCAUUUUUGUUGAGUAAAGGAAUUGUUCAAUAAGUGCACAAAUAAAUUCACAUUAAAACUUGUCCAAAAACAAAGGAGUUUUCUUGUGAGAAGCAGCUGCUCAUUCUGGGGCAUUCAAGUGCAGUGAGAUGACAACGAUGACCAUUGGAGAUGCUUUCAAAGUGAUGCCGGCACUAGACAGAUGGCUGGAGUGUGUACCCUUUAAGGACUCACCUAUCUCAGAAGUCAUGUGUGUUUCUGUAUGUGUAAAUGCACAAACAGACUGGAAGGAUAUGUGUUCAGCGUCUUUUCAGACUGUGAAGGUCCCUGCAACCAGAAGGAGAGCUGUCUUCAGGAAAGGAUGAAGGGAACGAGCAUCUGUCUGUGACUCUGGUGGUUGUGCAGGCAGGUCACCUCAAGGUGGAGUGACACUGUGGUGGGACAGGUGGAGCACCAGUGAGGAAGCUCUCAUGGGCCUGAGCCAACUGAAUUAAUUAAGACCAAGAACAGUAAAGGGACCCAGAGGGCAAACUCUGAGAGGCAGUCAUAAGCAGCACCCUCUCCCCAAACUGUAUUACUCAUUCCCACAGAAGUGUGUGUCUGCUUGCCUUUAAUCUGUUCUGACUGUAAGCCAUUUUGAGACAUCCCAGUCCCAAUGAUGGCCACCAUGUUCUGCAUUGAAUAGAUGCUUGACAUACAUCCAAUUAGUAAAAGCGAGUGAACUAAAGUUUAUCACUUGGGGUUUGUUUUUUCCCCAUCAGUUGCUCCUGCUGCUCAAGGGUGUGUGUGUGUGUACACAUAUGA